rnacentral:rRNA from 1 species
GUACACGCUGUGACUAGCAUAUCAAUAAGCGGAGGAAAAGAAACUAACUAGGAUUCCCUCAGUAACGGCGAGUGAAGCGGGAAGAGCUCAAAUUUGAAAUCUUCAAGGUUCUACCUUGACGAAUUGUAGUUUAAAGAAGUGUUUUCUGUUGGAGUUUGGUAAAAGUUCUUUGGAAUAGGACAUCAUAGAGGGUGAGAAUCCCGUAUUUGACCAUUAUUUCCAGCUUUGUGAUACACUUUCAAAGAGUCGGAUUGUUUGGGAAUGCAGUCCAAAAUGGGUGGUAAAUUUCAUCUAAAGCUAGAUACUGGCGAGAGACCGAUAGCGAACAAGUACCGUGAGGGAAAGAUGAACAGAACUUUGAAAAGAGAGUUAAACAGUACGUGAAAUUGUCAAAAGGGAAGCGUUUGACACCAGUGUUGUUUUCUCGAAAAUCAAUUAAAAAAGGCAGGAUUUUGUGUUGUAUUGACUUUAUCAGCUUUCUGCACUCUUUUCUUGUCUUUUUUAAUGCACUUUUCGUUUAGCAAGUCAACAUCAAUUUCUUUUGUUGUAAAAGGGUCAUUGGAAGGUGGCUUUCUUUUCGGAGAAAGUGUUUAUAGCCUUUGGCCUCUGCAAUCGGAGAGAUUGAGGUCUGCAGCGUAGAUCCUUCGGGGUUAGAUACAUUUGUGCUAAGUUAUAGCCUUUCAUAGACAACUUGUUGACUAUGAUCAGUCAUGUAGCUUACUCGCUUAUGCUAUUUUACCUACGCUUAGGAUGUUGAAGACUCUACAGAGAUA